rnacentral:lncRNA from 1 species
CAAGCCUCCAGGACAGACCCUCUUAGGGCCCUUCCAUAUGCUUUGCGCUCUUUAAACUUGUAAGAGCUGUUGAAUGCUGAUAUAUUUUCUUAUUCCAUUCUCUGCUGAACACUGCAUUGGAAGUGAAGAGGCAGCUGCUCUGAACUGUGGAUGUUCUGGAACAAGAUACAGAAACCUGUCACUUGCGUCAAUGUACAAACCCCUCUGGUUUCAGCAACAAAAGGCAGGUGUCAAUGCAAUGCAGAAGCUGAGGAAAGAGUUUUAUCUUUAG